rnacentral:rRNA from 1 species
CAGCAGCCGCGGGAAUACGAAGGGGGCUAGCGUUGCUCGGAAUGACUGGGCGUAAAGGGCGCGUAGGCGGUUUUGACAGUCAGAUGUGAAAUUCCUGAGCUUAACCUGGGGGCUGCAUUUGAGACGUCAAGACUAUAGUGUGAGAGAGGGUUGUGGAAUUCCCAGUGUAGAGGUGAAAUUCGUAGAUAUUGGGAAGAACACCGGUGGCGAAGGCGGCAACCUGGCUCAUUACUGACGCUGAGGCGCGAAAGCGUGGGGAGCAAACAGGAUUAGAUACCCCGGUAGUCCCUGUCUCUUAUAC